GGAAGUCUUGCGGAAUUAGAUUUGCCAAUUAGACCGAACUGCCUAGUUGCAGAGGAAGAUGUAUGCAAGAGCCUCUUAAGAAAGAAUGAGACCCCUCAACCCCAAUGAAUUGCUCGUUUCAGGUUUUUAGUCUAUGAAACUUUGCAGACUUGGCCAUGUGUUUUAGUGCGACAGAUUAUGGGGAAGGAGUCGAAGCGCCCGGUGCUCGGAGCAGCAUCGACAGGGCUUUUGCUUAUCGUGGUUUCGCUCUGUAUCGCCCUUCUCGUAUUGAAGGACGCGCCGUUUCUAUCAUGGAGGAAUCAGAUUCCAAAUUGGAGGGGCAAUAGUGACGCAGGAGAGGUAGGUGAAGUCACCGAAGAGAGAGACGGUCUCAAGGAUCUACUGAGAAGACUAGUAAGAGGAGAAGAGAGAAACCAGCUGCAGGUUGGAGGGUUCACAUGCCACUUUGACCUACACACCGAAAUGUGUCUCUCAGCUAAACCCGUUUGGAUCUCCAAUGGCGGUUUGACUGUUCACGUACGGUCUGAUGGAUCUAAGUUCAAGCGUUUGGUUCGACCCUACGCGAGAAGAGAAGAUGAAGGGGCGAUGAAACUAGUCACUCCGGUCCAGGUACUUCAUGGGGACGCGGCUGAUUUACCAGCCUGCAAUUUCACGCACAGCAUCCCAGCAGUGAUCUUCUCGACGGGCGUUACAGGAAACGCCUUCCAUGAGUUCAGUGAGAUCAUCAUUCCCUUGUUCCUCACCUGCCGGCACUUCCGAUCGCAGCUGAAGUUCGUCACCACCGAUCGCAAUGCCUUGUGGAUUCAGAAAUACUCAAGGAUUUUGAACCGCUUGUCUGAUUACGAGGUUCUCAAUUUAGCCGAUGGGAGUGUUCACUGCUUUCCCGGGGCAGUUGUGGGACUUAGGUACCACGGCAAUUUAGCCCUGAACACCAGUGACAUCCCCGGAGGACACUCCAUGCGCGAAUUCAGGCAAUUCCUCAGAGAAUCUUACAAUUUGAAGACCAAGAACGUGCACGAGAUCGAAAAGCUACAGAAGCCGGUCCUCAUCCUCAUUUCCAGGACCAACUCGAGAAAAUUUCUGAACGAGGACGCCAUCGUGGAACUGGCGCAGGGGUUGGGUUUUCAAGUAGUGACGGCAGGGCCUAGUAUGAUGUCGAAUCUAGAGCUGUUUGCGAAGACGGUCGGUUCGUGCAGUGUUUUCAUCGGAGUCCACGGUGCGGGUCUUGCCAACGGGAUCUUUUUGCCGGACGGUGCAGUGGUAGUUCAGGUGGUUCUGCUAGGACUGGAGUGGGGUUCGUCCAACUAUUUUGAAAUUCCGGCUACCGCAAUGGAUGUGCGAUAUCUGGAGUAUAAGAUAGAGCCCCAGGAGAGCUCUCUCGCCGAAGUAUAUGGGCUCGAUCAUCCGGUGAUUGUCGACCCUUUAUCGGUCUUCGCCAUGGGGUACACAGCUGUUAGGGCUGUGUAUGUUGAUGGCCAGAACGUGACGAUCAACUUGGAUAGAUUUACGGGCACACUGGAGGAAGCAAGGAGACUGGUUGGACAUUCCACGACUUAGGGCUGAGUUCAUCGUCAUUACAUGACAGAAAAAAAAAAAAAGGAACCAUUUUCCGUAUUGGUUUAUUGCAAACAAGGUUGGUAAAUUUCAAAUAUUGUUGGGACAAAUGAAGUACCAAAUUGGAAGCACGUAACGAAUGGCAGAAAGAUUGAUUGCAUAGAUUUGACAAAUCUUCCAAGAAGACUACCCAAUUUAACUGAUAUUCUCUCCCCCCUUACACCUGCAAGGAUCUCAAAUGGUAGAUUGCGUGGCUGACCUUUCACAUACCAUCCAGCAAAUCUUGAAUCACAUGCUCAAUCCAGCCAUACACGAAGGAAUGAUGAAGCCACCAUGAAACUUGUCGCUCCAGUGCAGAAAUUUUGUGGACAAGUUAGUGAGUUACCGACUCCAGUGUUCGAGCGGUCAUCAUUAGAUCAGGUGGAUUCACAGGAGGUGCAUCCCACCAGCUCAAUCAAAUCCCCAUGCCCCUGUUACUCACAUAUAGACGCAAUCCCUUACAGCGUUGAGGACAACCUAAAAGAAUAAUCAUGCUCCUUUUGGAUGGUUCGAUAAUUACACUACAAACUUCCUUUUGUAUCAAAUCUUAUCUUUGAAAAUACAGUUAUGUAAAAGGCAAUGGACAAACA